GAGGGUAUGGCUCAAAUGAUAGAGCACAUGCUUAGCAUGCACGAGGUCCUGGGUUCAAUCCCCAGUACUUCCA
rnacentral:tRNA from 1 species